rnacentral:rRNA from 1 species
GAGACGGAUCUCUUUGAGGCCCGUUAUCGGAAUGAGAACAAUUCAAAUCCUUUAACGAGGAUCUAGCGGAGGGCAAGUCUGGUGCCAGCAGCCGCGGUAAUUCCAGCUCCGCAGGUGUAUAUCUAUGCUGCUGCGGUUAAAAAGCUCGUAGUUGGAUCUGCGUGCUCGGAACCGGUUGGCUCACUGAGUCCAAACUGGUCUCCGGCGCUUUAUCGGCUGGUUUUCCCUUGAUGCUCUUAACCGGGUGUCUCGGGUGGCUAGCGCGUUUACUUUGAAAAAAUUAGAGUGCUCAAUACAGGCGCAAAGCCUUGAAUAGUGGUGCAUGGAAUAAUAGAAUAGGACCUCGGUUCUAUUUUGUUGGUUUUCGGAACGCGAGGUAAUGAUUAAAGAGGGACAGACGGGGGGCUUUCGUAUUUGCGACGUUAGGAGGUGGAAAUUCUUGGGAUCGUCGCCAAGAGGGACCGACUG